GGGCCGACUGCAGCCUGCGGGACUGGGCUGAUCACCGGCUGGCCUGGGCGGUGAGUUCUAGAAGCCUGCUCUUUCUAAGACGGGCGGCUCCUUCACCUCCCCCGGCACAGGCUCUGGCGCACGCCAGCGUGCACACCGGCGCGCAGCUUGGCUAGCUCGGGGUCCACGGCCUGAUAGGAGAGCGAGCCUCUUGCGCCUGACAGCGGACGCAGCACCGCCUAGUGCAUACUGGCCCUGUCAGGCUUGGGGUCGGUGCUCCCCUGCAGAGCCACCUCCUCAACCGGCCUCAGUUCCCUCCCCUGCCCGCUUCCCAGAGCCGCUGAAGCAUGAAUCAUAACAGCGGUGCCUGUGGAAGCCCUGGGCAGGCUCCCAAGCUCUGUGCCCAUGUUGGCAGUUAUCGAAGUUUACUUCUUACGCUGCGUGACCCUGCUUUUAAAGGCUGGGGGAAUGUUCAGAAUCACCGCCUUUGACAAACCCGACAGCUGCCUGAUGACGGGUGGUCUUGUGGGAGCAGGCCCUAGGGAGAGCCGUCUCUGGGCAUCCAUUAUGCAAAGGUCUGACGACCCCUUCGCAGCCUGGCAGUCUCAGGAAGGCAUUUACGGAGCGUGGAUUCUGCCCAUUGUCCGCCCUCUGAACUGCUGUGGAGCUCCCACAGGCCGGGGCGGCUGCUCAGCACCCGCACAUGGGUGUGUCGUCACCGCAGAUCAUCCCCACAGCUGGCCCUGUGCCUCCCAGGGUUCUGGAGGGGCACAGUGGGACAUGUGCUGGCUGCCCUACGAGAUUCUGCGGACAGCAGAGGUUUGCCGGCACCAGGUCUGCUCCACGCCGUGUGGACCCCAGGGCUUUUGUUGAUUUUAAAAAACAUUUUGUUUAGGAAUAUCUUCAAGCUAUGGAAAGCUACGAAAAUAAACACCAGACACCUUUUACUUAUACCUUCUACCCCGUUCAUCCACCUUUUGCUCACUUGUGCGUGCACGCUCACUCUCUCUCUCUGUCUCUUUCUCUGUCUCUCUCUUUGUGACUCUGUGUCUCUCUGUCUCUUUCUCUGUCUCUCUGUCUCUCUCGCUGUCUCUCUCUGUCUCUUU
rnacentral:lncRNA from 1 species